UUUUUUUCACCGUUAACCGCGAUUUAGCGCGCUGCUAACACAUCCACGACGUCGGGGUCACGAUGUAAGCGCGCGCGACAUGAAAUCGAAACAUCUGCAACGCGGGGUCGCAUGUCAAACGAACGGCGAACCAUUGUCGCCAGCAGUCGGUAACUAGACGGCGCGAAUAAAUAAUUAAAUCGUUAAUGAAACUCGAAAGUGGUUCCGACAUGUUACGUAGUAUGUAUGCGGGCCCGUCGAUUGCAAGUCGCGCAGUUUCUGAUGGCGCGUUCGGAGCGGUGGUUGGGUCCGCGUGCCCCGUAGAUAGACGAUGUGGCUGCGGACGGUACCGUACGUAAUUCUCAGUGUAGCACACAGCUGCAGUUGAACAACGUAGACGCUACUGGAACAUUCCGAAACCGGCGGAUUAUGGAAGGCCAUAUUUGGAAGCGAUAAUCUUCCUUCAUUAUCCUCCUUUUUUUAUUAUUUUUUCUGGCAGACAAGCGGUUGCACCGAGUCGUUGAUCUCGGCGAUAACGGCUGUUGAGAUCCAGCGGCGACGAGCGACGACGUUCGGCGCACGAAGACGCCCGGGCACAACAGCGCAUGCGCCAACAGCCGAGAAUUGCGCUUAUAUUUUGCCCCAAGAAGCUGCCGCCGAGUGGGCCGCCCUUCACUUUGAGCUUCACGCCGCUGCUGCGCGUGUCAGCUGAGACCUCUGCGUCGUACCGCCUAUGCUCUGGCAACGAUAGUCGACCACAUCACCGACCCCGAAAGAGCCAUGGAUCCCGGCGCUGGCUUCUGUUGUAUGGCGUGCUUCGAAGCCUUCUGUCGCGGCUGCACCGCAUACGGCCAUGGACUUCUGCGGCUACGGGACUCUCUUUUGCUCCUGAAUUCUCGCACGGCCCACUAGCGGUUCCGGAAUACGUAUGCGACGGGCGCCGACCGUUCCAUGUGGUCUCGCGUCUGAUGCCAACGACGCCUUUGCUGCCGACAAGUCUCAAGUUGCGUCUGCCGCGGUAUUUUCUUUUGUGCGCGUUUCCCAACCAAAGGACUGACCGGGCCAUUAAUCUGAGGGACAACGAGGCAACUGUCAUCGGCAGCUGCUUCAACUACCUUGUGAGGUGCAGCGCUUGGAACCAAGUGACCGUGGCACUACCCCGAAGGACAACGCCGCAACUGAUCUCCGCUGCGUAGCCUCGGCAUCUAAACGCCGAGGUGGGAAAAUUUAGCUUGCGAGGGCGGCUCGGCCUUUAACUUCCCCGUCAAAAACUGAUUGACAACAUUGGCAAAUUAUCUGCAGUUAACUGUGGUGCUUGAUUACGCACGAGCUUCGGUCGCAGCCACAUAGGGUCGUCGACGUGACGGAAGCGGAGAGGACAGGGUGGGGCGAUUCUAGCUUCAGGCUGAGCUAACACUAGGAAGGUAGCUGGCGCUGCGCGUAGGCAACAGCUGCAGGGGUCCUCUCUCGUUUGCGACACGGACGUCGGCCCAUUCUGGGCGCUAUCGCUUCACGGCCGCAUUCCGCGCCCACGCGCGCGAAAAAGGGCGCGGAAUGUGGAGUCGCGGAAGUGGUGGCAUCCGGAAUUAGUGUCAGGGUGUGUUAACCAGUGCCGUAUUGCUUCCAGUCCAUCUAGCUACACUGAAGCACGGACGUUGCCUUCGGUCCGCGGCGCGGCGCGCUGUGGCCAGAGUAUGUGGCGACUUUUUUUCUUUUCCAUUCCUUGUGCCACGCUGUGUUCUUGUCGCUCGACAUGCGGACAAUGUUUGACGGGUUCAUCUCCCUCGUACGGCUCGUGCGACGAUGCUUGUCAUGGUGAGUACCUACUUUCGGGUUAUAUUCCGAUUUGCAAAGCUGCCCUUUUAUUUUUAGGUACGCACCCUAGGCCGCCGCUUCCAGCGCACUCCAGCAACGUCCCUGCGCCCAGCAGUGUCCCGGACGGUUGACGUUCAUUUCCUGUCGCCGACCGUCUGGGCAGUUCUCCUCCAGCCACACAUCUACUGGUUUCCUGGCCAAUGAAAAAACCUUCACCCUGAAGCACGUCGCAUGCGCUUCCCCACCCUUGGCCGUCAGUCACGUGCGACGGAUGUUCCUACGCCCUGCCGUGUCCCAGACGGAUGACGUUCAUCGCCUGUCUCGCGGCCGACCGUCUGGACACUUCUCCAGCCACACAGCUACUGGUUUCCUGGCCAAUGAAAAACCUUCGCCCUGAAGCACGUCGCAUGCGCUUCCCCACCCUUGGCCGUCAGUCGCGUGCGACGGAUGUUCCUACGCCCUGCCGUGUCCCAGACGGAUGACGUUCAUCGCCUGUCUCGCGGCCGACCCUCUGGGCACUUCUCCUCCAACCACACGGCUACUGGUUUCCUGGCCAAUGGAAAAAGCUUCACGAGCCACCCUGAAGUACGUCGAAUACGCUAGGCCAUGCGGUCCACUACGCAGCCUUGCUCACCCAGUUCAUCACAUUACUACGCCCGCUGACGUUCAGCUGCAGAAGUCCCUCUCUGCGUGCUCCGUGCUGCCUCGAAGACGCUACACAACUACGGAGUCACGACUCGAUCACCGACCACGAUAUCCCUGCGAGAAAUCUUUCCGCCCGGUAGCUGCAUCAUGGCCGUUAGGUACUCUAGUAUGGACAGUCGAUAAUUGUGACGAGUGGAUCGAACAAUUCUAAGCAGCAUAUGCUGGCUCAUCUGUGGUACACAUCUCAAUCUGAAGGUUGCUGCACAUUAAUUCACAUCCUCUGCUAUAGUAAUGGUACGCUGAUGCUGGUUCGCAUUGCGAAGUUGCGCGCGCGUAUGUGUUCGUGUGAGCAU